rnacentral:rRNA from 1 species
GAUGAACGCUGGCGGCGUGCUUAACACAUGCAAGUCGAGCGAGAAGUUUUGAAAAGAUUCUUCGGAUGAAAUUUAAAUGGAAAGCGGCGGACGGGUGAGUAACGCGUAGGCAACCUGCCCCAUACAAAGGGAUAGCAUUUGGAAACGAAUAUUAAUACCUUAUGAAACUUAACUAGUGCAUGCUAGGUAGGUCAAAGAUUUAUCGGUAUGGGAUGGGCCUGCGUCUGAUUAGCUAGUUGGUGAGGUAACGGCUCACCAAGGCGACGAUCAGUAGCCGACCUGAGAGGGUGAACGGCCACAUUGGAACUGAGACACGGUCCAAACUCCUACGGGAGGCAGCAGUGGGGAAUAUUGCACAAUGGGGGAAACCCUGAUGCAGCAACGCCGCGUGAACGAUGAAGGCCUUUGGGUCGUAAAGUUCUGUUCUAGGUGAUGAAAACUGACAGUAACCUAGGAGAAAGCCCCGGCUAACUCCGUG